GGGGUCGUGGCUCAAUGGAAGAUCAUCUGCUUGGCAUGCAGAAGGUUCAUGGUUCAACACCCAGCAUCUCCA
rnacentral:tRNA from 1 species